UCCUCUUUAGAAGUGGAUAUGUCUGUUUUCUGUGGCAAGGAUGCCACCAUAACACUGAAUGGUCAUAAUGACUAUUUGUUUAAACAGAGAAAUGAACAUAUUAGAGUUGUCAGAUCCCCAAUGGAGGCCAUUGCAACACCCUCGUAUUCAGUACCAAGCAAAAAUGUAACUAUCACACUUUCGAUAAGUGAUGCAGCCAAACUAAAUGACCCGCGGAAAAAAUACGAGUGGGCAUGCAAGAAUCCCUGUCGAUGCCAGGGAAAUUUCGAGGGACUGACCUAUCACAUUACAGAACGCUGCCAACCAGAUCCAUUUCAGUUCAUU